rnacentral:rRNA from 1 species
UACCAGCACCCCGGGUGGUCGGGACGUUUAUUGGGCCUAAAGCAUCCGUAGCCGGUUCUACAAGUCUUCCGUUAAAUCCAGCUGCUUAACAGAUGGGCUGCGGAAGAUACUAUAGAGCUAGGAGGCGGGAGAGGCAAGCGGUACUCGAUGGGUAGGGGUAAAAUCCGUUGAUCCAUUGAAGACCACCAGUGGCGAAGGCGGCUUGCCAGAACGCGCUCGACGGUGAGGGAUGAAAGCUGGGGGAGCAAACCGG